rnacentral:rRNA from 1 species
UAACGCGUGGGUAACCUGCCUUGCACUGGGGGAUAACACUUAGAAAUAGGUGCUAAUACCGCAUAACAGUAGGAGACGCAUGUCUUUUACUUGAAAACUCCGGUGGUGUAAGAUGGACCCGCGUCUGAUUAGCUUGUUGGCGGGGUAACGGCCCACCAAGGCAACGAUCAGUAGCCGGCCUGAGAGGGUGAACGGCCACAUUGGGACUGAGACACGGCCCAAACUCCUACGGGAGGCAGCAGUGGGGAAUAUUGGACAAUGGGGGGAACCCUGAUCCAGCGACGCCGCGUGAGUGAAGAAGUAUUUCGGUAUGUAAAGCUCUAUCAGCAGGGAAGAAAGAAAUGACGGUACCUGACUAAGAAGCCCCGGCUAACUACGUGCCAGCAGCCGCGGUAAUACGUAGGGGGCAAGCGUUAUCCGGAUUUACUGGGUGUAAAGGGAGCGUAGACGGCGAUGCAAGUCUGAAGUGAAAGGCGGGGGCCCAACCCCCGGACUGCUUUGGAAACUGUAUGGCUGGAGUGCAGGAGAGGUAAGUGGAAUUCCUAGUGUAGCGGUGAAAUGCGUAGAUAUUAGGAGGAACACCAGUGGCGAAGGCGGCUUACUGGACUGUAACUGACGUUGAGGCUCGAAAGCGUGGGGAGCAAACAGGAUUAGAUACCCUGGUAGU